rnacentral:tRNA from 1 species
GCCCCGAUAGCUCAACUGGAUAGAGCAUCGCCCUUCUAAGGCGGCGGUUGCAGGUUCGAAUCCUGCUCGGGGUGCCA